CAAAGAGGGGGACCUUCGGGCCUCUUGCCAUCAGAUGUGCCCAGAUGGGAUUAGCUAGUAGGUGGGGUAAUGGCUCACCUAGGCGACGAUCCCUAGCUGGUCUGAGAGGAUGACCAGCCACACUGGAACUGAGACACGGUCCAGACUCCUACGGGAGGCAGCAGUGGGGAAUAUUGCACAAUGGGCGCAAGCCUGAUGCAGCCAUGCCGCGUGUGUGAAGAAGGCCUUCGGGUUGUAAAGCACUUUCAGCGAGGAGGAAGGUGGUGAACUUAAUACGUUCAUCAAUUGACGUUACUCGCAGAAGAAGCACCGGCUAACUCCGUGCCAGCAGCCGCGGUAAUACGGAGGGUGCAAGCGUUAAUCGGAAUUACUGGGCGUAA
rnacentral:rRNA from 1 species